GGAGCAUGCGCAGUCACAGGAGCCCGCGAGUUCGUGAGUACCGAGACGUCUGCGCUCCGUGUCAGCUACUGGGUUCGUGCAGACCUAACUUGACUGUAAAAGAUUGGCGAGUUUACUUCAGACUACUCAGCUUGCUGGAAAAAAAUCGCAGGAAAGUGCCUGUGAUAUGCAGCCAGGCACUUUUCUUCUAAGGACAAGCCUUGGAUUACAUACAAUAAGAAUCUACUAAACUGGGGCAAAAGAACACAGUUCAACUCCCAAACUUGUCCUUUCACAAGAGGCUGGAGUUGAGUCAUCAGAGGAGGAAGAGAAUGGAAGAUUGCAUGAUGGAGAUUAAAAUUUGACUUCACUCCAGAACUCCAUCAUCUGGGAAGGGAGGCUGGGAUCUGCAGUUCCCUGUCUGCAGGUUUGAUCACUUGAAUAGUGUCAUGAUAUGCUUGUGACAUAAUUUUUGGACCAUUCUAAUGGCAACUCACUCCAGUAUUCUUGCCUGGAGAAUCCCAGGGACAGAGGAGCCAUCUAUGGGGUCGCACAGAGUCAGACACGACUGAAGCAACUUAGCAGCAGCAGCAGCCAGUACUGCUGGACAUUCAUAGCACUUGCAGUUUUUUUAUAAUAUUAAAAUGAACUUUUUA